UUGAUUUAAUACUAAUGACAACAUAAUUAAUGAUAUUAAAAAGUCAAAGAAUACAAGACUUUAGUUUAUAUAUAGAGAGGAUAUUACACGGCGAAAACAAUACUGUUUUUAAGACGAGAAGAUAAAAGCCGUAUCUUCAAGCCAACGUGUAAUGCUCUGUUUAUUGUAUAGUCCCAGGCAAGAAAUUGUAUAAUUACUAAAAGUUACGUAACUUUUACACUAUAAUUGUUAAUUAUUACAUUUCACUUUAUUAUAUGUAGUAGAGAGUGAUACUGAAAAAUACAGUGGAUGAGGUUUUUGUGAUAUGCGGAAUUAUCAAUGUGAAGGUAAGCGUUAUCAGCCGAGAUAAUUCACAUAUCGCAAAAACCGAAUUCAACAAUUGUUUUAUUAUACAUUUAGCAUUUCUUUGUGUUAAACAGACACCGCUUGUUAAUCAUCGCAGGCUCAUUUGCAGAUAACUCAGUUAUCUGCUAGCAGAUAACUGAAUUUUCUGUAGGUUGCGUGAUUUAACUGUAAGCUCUUAGACAAUGAAAUUGCUUUUACUAACUAUACAAUGUAUAAUAAUAAAUGUUAUCUUAUACUACAGUAUAUUGCAUGGCAUGCAAAACUACAAAGAACUUAUUAAUGUCACAAACACAGAAGCUUUCUUUAUAUACAAUUAAAUUAACAAUACUAUUACAGUAAAUGAAUACAACUUUAGUGCAUCAAACUAUGUGAUCUUAUACAUGUCUAAUAACCAAUAAAUGUAUUGUAUAUAUAAGCUUAUAUACUCCUCAUACAUCAACAUCUUACUGCAUCAAGUCUAUAUGUUAUCAGCUCGUUGCGGUCGUAAAAUCACUUGCAGAUAAUUUUCACGUACGCUUUCCAGGGGCGUAGGGAGCAUCAAAAGAUGG